AUUCUGCCCAAGCGGGGAAGGAUGAGAAGCUUCGACCAAGGUUCGACUCGAGCGCCAGCGAGAGAGCGUUGCCGCAGGCAACGACCCGAAGGGCGAAGCGCG
rnacentral:sRNA from 1 species